rnacentral:rRNA from 1 species
CGCGUGGGAACGUGCCCUUCUCUACGGAAUAGUCUCGGGAAACUGGGGGUAAUACCGUAUACGCCCUUCGGGGGAAAGAAUUUCGGAGAGGGAUCGGCCCGCGUUGGAUUAGGUAGUUGGUGGGGUAAUGGCCUACCAAGCCGACGAUCCAUAGCUGGUUUGAGAGGAUGACCAGCCACACUGGGACUGAGACACGGCCCAGACUCCUACGGGAGGCAGCAGUGGGGAAUCUUAGACAAUGGGCGCAAGCCUGAUCUAGCCAUGCCGCGUGGACGAUGAAGGCCUUAGGGUUGUAAAGUCCUUUCGCUGGGGAAGAUAAUGACUGUACCCAGUAAAGAAGCCCCGGCUAACUCCGUG